rnacentral:guide_RNA from 1 species
UCAAUUGCAAAAUCAUAUUAUAAGAAAUAGAUGAUUGUA